UACGGGAGGCAGCAGUGAGGAAUAUUGGUCAAUGGACGAGAGUCUGAACCAGCCAAGUAGCGUGCAGGAUGACGGCCCUAUGGGUUGUAAACUGCUUUUAUACAGGGAUAAAGUGCGCCACGUGUGGCGUUUUGUAGGUACUGUAUGAAUAAGGACCGGCUAAUUCCGUGCCAGCAGCCGCGGUAAU
rnacentral:rRNA from 1 species